UACGUAGGGUGCGAGCGUUAAUCGGAAUUACUGGGCGUAAAGCGUGCGCAGGCGGUUCGUUGUGUCUGUGGUGAAAGCCCCGGGCUUAACCUGGGAAUGGCCAUGGAGACUGGCGAGCUGGAGUGUGGCAGAGGGGGGUGGAAUUCCGCGUGUAGCAGUGAAAUGCGUAGAGAUGCGGAGGAACACCGAUGGCGAAGGCAGCCCCCUGGGUUGACACUGACGCUCAGGCACGAAAGCGUGGGGAGCAAACAGG
rnacentral:rRNA from 1 species